rnacentral:lncRNA from 1 species
AAAAAGACCUGAGACUCCCUGGGGUGAAGGGAAAUGCCACAGACAUCCAUGGUCUUGGAUGCUCAACAGAAGUGCUUGCCUUGGUGAUCCAAAAAAGGCAGGAUCCGGCCGGGGGCAAGGUGAUUAUUCUGUCUGAUGAGGAGAAUAAGAGCCAGUUUGUGGUAUUGACAGAAGAAUGAAAGUAAAGUCUUGAAAGAUGGGAAGAUCAGGAGCAGUCUGGAGUCAUGGUAUAUGAAUGAACUAGUGAGAGUGGGCACAAAGUCUGAAGAUCUUUGUAGUGCAGCUAAUGUCUAAGGGAGAAUAUACCUACCCUAGAAGAGACAUUAAACAACCAGGUAAUUGGAGUAGACAAAGUGUCAGCCAGUCAAUAUCAGCCAUACUCUGUCAUCAGAGACUUCAGUGUUUGGACAAUAAGCACAUGAACAGAGAAGCUUACUGCAGGAAAGAAAUCCCUCAGAGUCCUGAAGAUACAGCUUUCAGAACUUAGGUGAAGCAAGAGGACUCAAGGUGUGCAAGAAUGGACAGUACAGAAUGCUCUGCUACACUGCUCAGAUUCCCCCUUCAGGAAGGAAGGACAAAUUCACUCAACUUCUGGGAGCAUUGAUGGUUGAGCUCUCAGCCAUCAGACCUUUUUGGAAGUUGCCCUCUUCUGAAAAGAGGCACAUUGCCCAAGAUCUUUCCUCCUCCAGAGCGCAGGCUGCACCUGAAGUCUGAUUGAUGUGGGGUAUGAUGGUCUGGUCUCCUUUCCCCAUCUAAAGGACUGUUCUAACCUCA